UCCUUUUUUUAUUAUUGAAAGAUCGUCUAAUAAAUUAUUGAAUAUAAACAAUUACCCCAUGAUGGCUUACGUUAUACUGUCAAGCACUCGAAUAGUCGAGCGCGCUGUCCUCUGACAGCUCUUGUUUGUUCCGUUCUGUAUUUUCAAAACUUGUACAAUCAGUGGGGACAGUGAAUCUUCAUUAAGUAAUGUCUUUUAUGAAGGUUACCCAUAUUGAAUCAGUUAAAUGUGUAAAUCAGUACUUCAGAACGGAGCCAAUGCUCGUGCUUGCUACUGCAUGUUUUUCAACAUUCAUAUAUGCUAACAUAUAAUUAUGUCUCUGUAUCUGGGAGCUUAAAGCUUGCAUAAUUUAAAUAUAUAUUUCUUUCACAGUCUCAUUCAGAUUUAUUCAAAAUUUUGAUUAAACGGACGUGUUCACAGAUUUUUGUAUUUUUUAAAAAUGUCAUUCAAAAAAUUAACUAGAAAAACUAUUAAAUUUGAAAAAGUGUUAAAUAAUUUUAAUAACAAGGAAAAUGAUAAAAUAAAAAGAACAUGCCGACCAUGGGGUUCAAAGCACUAUAAGAAGCAAAUCUAAUCCUCUACCAAUCUACCAGCGCUUUUAAAUUUAAAUUGUCAUUGAAAUGCUUUGUCUGUAAAUACAUGUUGUCUAAAUUAUUGAUGCAAAUGCGUUAUUAUUGAUGUGGUUUUGAUUGAAGAUUAUCAAUAAACUAACAUACAUAUUUAACAUUUUCCUUUGUCAGGAGUGUUAUUUUGCUUCUUUUAAUAUACGGUAGUACGUUUAUUUCUCUCUUUUAAUUUGUUAUACAUAUUAUAAAAGUAUAAUUUUUUCCAAACAAGUCCCUUUGACCACUGCUCAAUUCUGACUAAAUUGGACUGAAUCUUGGUCUUAGAAAACACAUCGCCAUGACUCCAUCCAGAAAAACCUACCUGACAUAUGCCCAGCCACGCUUGUACGAAUCAAACCUUGAAAGUUUUGUCGAAAUCAACUCACCUCCUAACAGGCUUAGUCAAGUUCUAAUAUGUUAUUUUUAUGCACCCCUUCGAAGAAGAGGGGGUAUAUUGUUUUGCACAUGUCGAUGGGUCGGUCCGUCUGUCCGUCCCUUGGUCCAUCCACCAGAUGGUUUCCAGAUGAUAACUCAAGAACGCUCAGGCUUAGGAUCAUGAAACUUCAUAGGUACAUUGAUCAUGACUGUCAGAUGACCCCUAUUGAUUUUCAGGUCACUAGGUCAAAGGUCAAGGUCACAGUGACUCGAAAUAGUAAAAUGGUUUCGGGAUGAUAACUCAAGAAUGCUUAUGCCUAGGAUCAUGAAACUUCAUAGGAACAUUGAUCAUGACAGGCAGAUGACCCCUAUUGAUUUUCAGGUCACUAGCUCAAAGGUCAAGGUCACAGUGACAAAAAACGUAUUCAUUUACAAAAUGUCUUAACGUCUCCAAAAUAAACUGAUUAUGAAGUGCAGAUGAUGUGAAAUGUAGACUUGGUGAAGAUGAAUCAUGUGAA